CUWCUUUAGAAUUACAAUGGAAAUGCAAUGUUUGCUACACCUGACAAGUGCCUACUAGCCACACUGGCAAACAGGCAAAAACACGUGGCCCAGGACAUAARCUCAGUGGUUAAGUCUGAAGCCACAGGACUCCAGCUUCUGAUUCGGGCGAUGCUUCAGCACAGAGCGAGGAGAAGCUCUUUCAUCCCCCAAACCUCCAGU